GUUGAAAGCAUUGAGGAUGGCCUUCAUUUCUUGUAUGUCAAGUGACAUAACUUAUCUUAGGUUAGGAAAAUGUGAAAAAAUACACUUGGAUAGAAGUUGACUUGUUGAAUAGGUUAUUUGCUUGGUUGCCACUUGCUAGUGCAACUUCUCAAUUAUAAAAAUGAUAAGAAAAAGGGUUUUUUAUUUCAUAAUACCGUAAUUAUUAAAUGUGCAAAUUAUACAUUAAGGUGCAAAGGGGUCUUGGAUCCUAGGUGCAGGCAUGCACUUGAGAGAGGCCAAUUGUCAAAAGAAAAUCAAAACUAAGAUCUAGUGUUGGAAACAAUUUCAAGAUAUUAGCACUAUUUAA
rnacentral:misc_RNA from 1 species